rnacentral:rRNA from 1 species
GACGAACGCUGGCGGCGUGCUUAACACAUGCAAGUCGAACGGAAAGGCCCUGCUUUUGUGGGGUUCUCGAGUGGCGAACGGGUGCGUAACACGUGAGUAACCUGCCCUUGACUUUGGGAUAACUUCAGGAAACUGGGGCUAAUACCGGAUAGGAGCUCCUGCUGCAUGGUGGGGGUUGGAAAGUUUCGGCGGUUGGGGAUGGAUGGGCGGCUUAUCAGCUUGUUGGUGGGGUAGUGGCUUACCCAGGCUUUGACGGGUCGGCGGCCUGAGAGGGUGACCGGCGACAUUGGUACUACGGUACGGCGCAGACUCGUACGGGGGGCAGCAGUGGGGAACAUUGCACAAUGGGCGGAAGCCUGAUGCAGAAACGCCGCGUGCGGGAUGACGGCCUUCGGGGUGUAAACCGCUUUCGCCUGUGACGAAGCGUGAGUGACGGUAAUGGGUAAAGAAGCACCGGCUAACUACGUG